AGCAGUCGCCGCGGUAAUGCGAGGGGGGCAAGCGUUGUUCGGAAUUAUUGGGCGUAAAGGGCGCGUAGGCGGUUUGACAAGUCUUAUGUGAAAUCUCUGGGCUCAACCCAGAGUCUGCAUGGGAAACUGUCGGGCUUGAGUAUGGGAGAGGUGAGUGGAAUUUCCGGUGUAGCGGUGAAAUGCGUAGAUAUCGGAAGGAACACCUGUGGCGAAAGCGGCUCACUGGACCAUAACUGACGCUGAGGCGCGAAAGCUAGGGGAGCAAACAGGAUUAGAUACCCGCGUAGUCCCUGUCUCUUAUAC
rnacentral:rRNA from 1 species